AAAAUAUCACAACGUACUAAUAAGACUCGAGAAAUUCACAUACUUAUAGGAAUGCAUGCCCCUACUUUAUUUCUUUUAUCGUGUGUUCACCGUUAAAAAUUUUUAGAAACUUGCAUAUUAAUUAAAUUUAUUAAAUUGGGAACUUUAAUUAAUAGCACUUCUUUAUUAAACUUAAUUAUUUCUGUGACUUGAGAACUCCGUCUCCCUCUUUCUUUUUAUUUCCUUAGCGGUCGCCCGAGGCGUCGCGGGCGACGCCGGUCGGUCCUUCGCAUUUCCAGCUUCAACAUUUUCUGUUCAGAAACUUAGUAAUUUAUUAAGGGAUUAAUUUAUUAAGCUCCAAACUCAAUUCCUUAAAUUAAUUCCAACCCAACAAUUAAAAUCUCGGCCCAAACUAAUAUUAAAUUUUCAGCCCAAUUGUUUAAUUCAUCACAACCGAUUCAACAAUUAUAAGAAUACUUCCUGGCCUAAUUAAAUUAGAGAGUCGGCCCACUUCCUUAAAUAAAAACAGCCCAUUAUACCAAUUAAUUAUUAGGGCCCAACAAUAUUUAAUUAAAAUGGGUACCAACCCAUUCUUCAUCACCUACGAUACUAACUCAUUUUCUCCUUCCCAAUUCCUUGCAAAUCCCUAAUUUGAGGACAACCCAGUAGCGGCGCCUGCAAAUCCUCUUCCCUUCUAUUCUCUUUUCUCUUCGCCGUCGACUCUCUACCCGGUCAAGACCCCAACGUCGUAUUCAGCCCGACAGUGAGCUCUCAGUGGUGCUGCCUCCACCGUCCAGUGCCGGUACACGCUCUGCCGCCACCGCCGUUCUCACAGCAGGAGUCGCGGUUGCUCUUCGAGCUGCCGCCGUCAACAUCUCACACCAGCCAGCGAGCACCGUCUUUGUCGCUGCUUCUCGCCGUCGAGCAGCUCCUACCGACGGCUGCUGCUACCUUCGCUCCAGCUCCCCUCCGUCUUGCCGCGAUGCUGCGAGCUCGGGGCAGCUGCUGUCCGAGAGCUUGGAAGCUGCUCGUCGUCGCCGGUUCGUCGCCAGACAGCCCCUUGAAUUUAGCUAAGUCCCCUAUCCCUUUCUUAUCCUCUUAAAACGUGGUCUAUUAAACUUUUAGUUUCUGGGCAGUAGCUUUGUUCUAAGGACUAAGAUGUUGGCUACUUAUUUUUGUCCGAGAGAUGGCUUAUGGUUUCAUAACUCAUUUUGGUACUUUAUUCUCAUGCCUUGUUACUGAUUCGUUCCAUGAGUUAGCUACUGAUCUAAGGUCUCAUCUAUGGUUCUAACAUUUCAAGCUACAUGUGGGAUUUCUAAUGUGAUGCAAAGGAUGGUGUUGGGAGAUUACCUCGGCUUGGUGAUUCCUCUUGGUUUAACGGGCUGCCCUCUCGCGCUGCCACUUCCUUCCUCCCUCAUUGCUCCUCCGUUACUUGUGGAUUUUUAGGGGUCGAAAAUGGUGAGGAAAGGAGGUGGGGGUGUGGUAUUUAUAGUCGAGCUCUUGGCUCCUUGUGGCAGCCUCGGCAGGCAACGGAAGCUGUAAUUUAGCUAAGGGUUAUCUCAUCUUUUGAAUUGAGUUUAGAACUUCUAUGCCUAAUUUGGUGUAAGGCAAUGGAGGGCUCCUGAUUCUCAAAUCUCUUGGUUCUUGUGUGGGAGAGAUUUAUGGAGUAUGGAGAGAGAUUUGAGGAGGAAAAUAUCUGAGAAACUUGGUGACCAAGUAUACUCGGUUCCUGCUCGUGGCUGUCCUCGUUGAAGUAUCCGAUUUUUCCUAGAACGCAGGAUGUAUAAAUUUAAUUUUGUUGGAUUUUUGUUGAAUGUACCGGGCAUUAAAAUUUUCAUUUUGGGAUCUUAUUUAUUUAUUUAUUAAAUUUAUUAUAUUCAUAUA